GUGCUGGCUUCAGCAUCACAUAUACUAAAAUUGGAAUGAUAAAGAGAUUAGCAGGGCCCCUGUGCAAGGAUGACAUGAAAAUUUGUGAAGCGUUCCAUAUUUUU
ensembl:snRNA U6 U6 spliceosomal RNA